rnacentral:rRNA from 1 species
AUUGAACGCUGGCGGCAGGCCUAGCACAUGCAAGUCGAGCGGAUGAAGGGAGCUUGCUCCUGGAUUCAGCGGCGGACGGGUGAGUAAUGCCUAGGAAUCUGCCUGGUAGUGGGGGAUAACGUCCGGAAACGGGCGCUAAUACCGCAUACGUCCUGAGGGAGAAAGUGGGGGAUCUUCGGACCUCACGCUAUCAGAUGAGCCUAGGUCGGAUUAGCUAGUUGGUGGGGUAAAGGCCUACCAAGGCGACGAUCCGUAACUGGUCUGAGAGGAUGAUCAGUCACACUGGAACUGAGACACGGUCCAGACUCCUACGGGAGGCAGCAGUGGGGAAUAUUGGACAAUGGGCGAAAGCCUGAUCCAGCCAUGCCGCGUGUGUGAAGAAGGCCUUCGGAUUGUAAAGCACUUUAAGUUGGGAGGAAGGGCAGUAAGUUAAUACCUUGCUGUUUUGACGUUACCAACAGAAUAAGCACCGGCUAACUUCGUG